rnacentral:pre_miRNA from 1 species
UGGCCCGUUUUGGCACUAGCACAUUUUUGCUUUUCUUUCUUGCUGUCUGAGCAAUCAUGUGUGGUGCCAAUAUGGGACA